GACGAACGCUGGCGGCGUGCUUAACACAUGCAAGUCGAACGGAAAGGCCUUUUCGGAGGUACUCGAGUGGCGAACGGGUGCGUAACACGUGGGUGAUCUGCCCUGCACUCUGGGAUAAGCCUGGGAAACUGGGUCUAAUACCGGAUAGGACCGCACUUUAGUGUGUGUGGUGGAAAGUUUUUUCGGUGUAGGAUGAGCCCGCGGCCUAUCAGCUUGUUGGUGGGGUAAUGGCCUACCAAGGCGGCGACGGGUAGCCGGACUGAGAGGUUGGUCGGCGACAUUGGGACUGAGAUACGGCCCAGACUCCUACGGGAGGCAGCAGUGGGGAAUAUUGCACAAGGGGCGCAAGCCUGAUGCAGCGACGCCGCGUGGGGGAUGACGGCCUUCUGGUUGUAAACUCCUUUCGCCAGGGACGAAGCGUUUUGUGACGGUACCUGGAGAAGAAGCACCGGCUAACUACGUG
rnacentral:rRNA from 1 species